rnacentral:lncRNA from 1 species
AUUUAACUUUUUUAAUGCAUUUUUAACCUGUUGCAGAUAUUGAUGAUGUCAGGAAGUUUUUCCCAGGUUACCUGGAAGCUACUGUUGACUGGUGCAGACUAUAUAAAGUUCCAGAUGGGAAGCCAGAAAAUAAGUUUGCUUUUAAUGACACAUUUAAAGACAAGGCAUUUGCUUUGGAAAUAAUCAAGUCCACCCAUGAAUCCUGGAAAGCUUUGGUUCACAAAAAGGCUGAUGGAGGAGCCAUAAAAUGCACCAACCUUCUGGUGGGCACUAGCCCUUAUUGCUGCAACGAAGAAGACAUCCAAUCUAUUGUGCAAAAUGCUCCAGCACUUGUGGAAGAGCCUUCUAUUUCCAGAGAAGUUGAUAGAUGGCAUUUUCUUGGAUAGUGAAGACUACUGUUCUCUGACAUCAUGUUACAAGAUUCUCUCUCAACUUCGUCUCUCUUUCCUGGGUCUCCACCCCAUCUUACAAUAUACCAUUUGGCACAUGUGCACACACACUUUGCUGAAGAUAUGGAAAUGAAGCCACUGAUGACUGGAAUCUAUUGCACUGUAGAUUUUUCUGUUCUGUAAAUAAAAUGGAUUUUUACAAUUUUCCUCUGAAUUGU